GCUUCCUAUGGAUCUUCCAGAUGCAGAAAACACCCCUGGACAGCAGAGGGGCCUCACGCGAGUAUGUGGAAUUAUUCCCACCGCUCCCAAGGAGGACCACUGUGGGUUAGAUAGGCUUGACCCACAGCCACAAAGCGCAGCUGUCUGAUUCCACACCUUCAGAGGACUUCUUUUUUCUCCUCUCUCGUGAUUUAUUUCUGUGCUUAGGAACUGUGGCUCCUUUUUUUAAAGACUUCCUUUUAUAAAUCGAGACUGCGAGGAGCCGGUUUUGUGUGUUCCUUGGUACACAGCACCUUUCAUAUUGGAAAGUCUUGUUAAAUUUCACUUUUCAUCAGCGUCACCAUGGAUACAGAAGGAAAGCUAACAGAAACAGGAAGUGCAGCUGUAGCCCACCCUACUACCCAUCCCUAAUGGCUCCCUGAACCCAUUCCUGCUGACAGAGUCCAAGUUUUAUUCAGAGAACUCUGGAGAGCAGGAACGUCCCCCAAACAGAAGAAAAAGAAGCAACCUGUAGCUCCCUCACUCCAGCAGGCUUGGAUGAGGGACCGUUUCUAGUGAGUAAGAUGGUAAGAGGACUCCACCAGGGGCUCUGGGAAGACCUCGUUUGUUCUUAAGAAGAAAACCACGGGAUAAAUGAAAUAUGCUGCACAAUGACCUACUAUCAGGCCAUGAAGAGGACUAUGCAUAAUACGGACAAGCUUGAAAACAUUACGAAGGAAAGACACCAGACACAAAAGCCCACAGCCGGCAUUCCAGAAAUGCCCAGGCUGUAAAGACUGGAAGCAGGACCUCCAACUUCGCCUGUGCAGAUGCCUUACCUCCUCCACAUCUCUUGGUACCCGAUGUCAUAAGAGCACCGGUCACGAGGAAUCCUCUCCCUCUCCCUGGAGCCCCAUUCUGAAACAAUGACUCCCACGAAGGUUCAAGCUCAGUCCUUAAAUUAGAAUUAAGCAUGUUGAAUUAAAUCUGGGUUUGGCAAAGAAGUCAUCCCUGCCUCCCUACUUCAACUCUCCAAAUAAACAAAGAAGCCAUCC